CUUAUAUCUAACUUAAUUAACAUGUUCCUACUUCCCCAUCAGGCUCUGAUACCAAGAGGGGUUCGGAAGCAGAAGGAGGGGGAUGAGAUGAGGAUUAAGAGAAGUAGGAC
rnacentral:pre_miRNA from 1 species